rnacentral:rRNA from 1 species
GAUGAACGCUGGCUACAGGCUUAACACAUGCAAGUCGAGGGGAAACGACGGGGAAGCUUGCUUCCCCGGGCGUCGACCGGCGCACGGGUGAGUAACGCGUAUCCAACCUGCCUCUGACUGAGGGAUAACCCGUCGAAAGUCGGCCUAAUACCUCAUGGCAUCGUCUGCGGGCAUCCAACGACGAUUAAAGAUUUCAUCGGUCAGGGAUGGGGAUGCGUCUGAUUAGCUUGUUGGCGGGGUAACGGCCCACCAAGGCUACGAUCAGUAGGGGUUCUGAGAGGAAGGUCCCCCACAUUGGAACUGAGACACGGUCCAAACUCCUACGGGAGGCAGCAGUGAGGAAUAUUGGUCAAUGGGCGGGAGCCUGAACCAGCCAAGUAGAGUGCAGGAGGACGGCCCUAUGGGUUGUAAACUGCUUUUAUGCGGGGAUAAAGUGAGGGACGUGUCCUUCAUUGCAGGUACCGCAUGAAUAAGGACCGGCUAAUUCCGUG